rfam:Hordeum vulgare subsp. vulgare, WGS project CAJW01000000 data, contig: morex_contig_134727
UUAGUACACCCUCCAUCCCAAAUUAUUUGUCUUAGAUUUGUCUAGAUACGGAUGUAUCUACCACUUUUUUUGUGUUAGACACAUCUGUCUCUAGACAAAUCUAAGACAAGUAAUUUGGGAUGGAGGUAAUACAAC